CCUCUUCAUUCUCUCUCUCAUAUAUCUCUUCCUCUAAGAUGAUUAUAUCAUCCCUCCAAUACUGGCUUGUGAACCACCCAACCAUCCUCCAUUUCUCAUGGACCCAAGGCCAAACCCCAGCCUCCACCCCUCUCUUCCUCUCUCUCAUUCUCAUCUCCUAUCUCUCCCUCACUUACAUCCUCUCUCAUCAUCAUCAUCUCCAACUCCACGCAAUCCCAAUCCACAUCCUCAAACCCAUCUCAGCCCUCCACAACCUCACUCUCCUCCUCCUCUCUCUCAUCAUGGCCAUUGGUUGCACUCUCUCAAGCCUCACACAUCCACCUAAUUUUAAUUAUAUCAUUUGUUUCCCACCCAAUACCUCUCCCUCUGGGCCUCUCUUCUUCUGGGCCUACAUCUUCUACCUCUCCAAGAUUUUAGAAUUUGGUGACACCCUUUUGAUCAUUCUCACUAAUUCCAUCCAACGCUUGACCUUCCUCCACAUUUACCACCACGCGACGGUCCUGAUCAUGUGCUACCUUUGGCUACACACUUCUCAGUCUCUGUUCCCUGUAGCACUAAUCACCAAUGCGUUGGUGCACCUCGUAAUGUACACCUACUACUUAUUGUGCGCAAUGGGUGUGCGCCCCAAGUGGAAGAGAUUGGUCACAAAUAUCCAGAUUGUGCAAUUCGUUUUCAGCUUUGCGAUUUCGGGUCUGAUGUUGUAUCACCAUUUUACCAGCUCCGGGUGCUCCGGGAUUUGGGGUUGGUGCUUCAAUGCUGUUUUCAAUGCCUCUCUGUUGGCUCUUUUUGUGGACUUUCAUGCUAAGAGUUAUGCCAAUAGGAAGAAGAUGAUGAUGGGUCCCGGUCCCAAGGAUAAGGGAUUAUGAAGAUCUUUACUUUAUCGUAGUACCAUUCAUUCAUUCACCCUUCAUAAACCAGUUGGCAGCAGCAACAUAUCAUGGAUGAACUCAAAGCAGGAGAUUAAAACAAAGCAUGUAGACAUGAAGGCAAGAGAAUCCAAAGGUUAAGAUCAAUUGAGAAGUGGCUUUUAACGAAUUUAACAAGUCAAUGAUGUGAGGAAACAUAAAAGGAAAGAGAGAAAUACAUUUAAGCUAAAGUUGGAAAAAAUCUUGACAUGAAAAUAUUUUGACCAUGUUGAAUUGACUUGAUUCUUGCAGCCAUAAAAAGAGGACUUGAAGAUAUAAAAACUUUUAGUUUACAAAAACUUCAUAAUCUACUGUUUUCAAGGUUAAAACUGACCUAGAAGUUGACCCACUACUAAAAAAUGGGAAUUGACAUUUUUAUUUUC